GAUGAACGCUGGCGGCGUGCCUAAUACAUGCAAGUCGAGCGAACGGACGAGAAGCUUGCUUCUCUGAUGUUAGCGGCGGACGGGUGAGUAACACGUGGAUAACCUACCUAUAAGACUGGGAUAACUUCGGGAAACCGGAGCUAAUACCGGAUGAUAUUUUGAACCGCAUGGUUCAAAAGUGAAAGACGGUCUUGCUGUCACUUAUAGAUGGAUCCGCGCUGCAUUAGCUAGUUGGUAAGGUAACGGCUUACCAAGGCAACGAGGCAUAGCCGACCUGAGAGAGUGAUCGGCCACACUGGAACUGAGACGCGGUCCAGACUCCUACGGGAGGCAGCAGUAGGGAAUCUUCCGCAAUGGGCGAAAGCCUGACGGAGCAACGCCGCGUGAGUGAUGAAGGUCUUCGGAUCGUAAAACUCUGUUAUUAGGGAAGAACAUAUGUGUAAGUAACUGUGCACAUCUUGACGGUACCUAAUCAGAAAGCCACGGCUAACUACGUG
rnacentral:rRNA from 1 species